rnacentral:rRNA from 1 species
UACAGAGGCCUCGAGCGUUAGGCGGAAUCACUGGGCUUAAAGCGUGUGUAGGCGGACUUCUAAGUACCUUGUGAAAUCCCACGGCUCACCCGUGGAACUGCUCGGUAUACUGGUCGUCUUGAGCCUUCUAGGGGCGAGUGGAACAAAUGGUGGAGCGGUGAAAUGCGUAGAUAUCAUUUGGAACGCCAAUGGUGAAAAACAGGUAGCUGGGGGAAGUGCUGACGCUGAGACACGAAAGCCAGGGGGAGCGAACGGG